rnacentral:rRNA from 1 species
GACGAACGCUGGCGGCGUGCUUAACACAUGCAAGUCGAACGGAAAGGCCCUGCUUUUGUGGGGUGCUCGAGUGGCGAACGGGUGAGUAACACGUGAGUAACCUGCCCUUGACUUUGUGAUAACUUCAGGAAACUGGGGCUAAUACCGGAUAUGAUCUCCUGCUGCAUGGUGGGGGUUGGAAAGUUUCGGCGGUUGGGGAUGGACUCGCGGCUUAUCAGCUUGUUGGUGGGGUAGUGGCUGACCAAGGCUUUGACGGGUAGCCGGCCUGAGAGGGUGAACGGCCACAUUGGGACUGAGAUACGGCGCAGACUCCUACGGGAGGCAGCAGUGGGGAAUAUUGCACAAUGGGCGGAAGCCUGAUGCAGCAACGCCGCGUGCGGGAUGACGGCCUUCGGGUUGUAAACCGCUUUCGCCUGUGACGAAGCGUGAGUGACGGUAAUGGGUAAAGAAGCACCGGCUAACUACGUG